UACGUAGGGGGCUAGCGUUGUCCGGAAUCAUUGGGCGUAAAGAGCGUGUAGGCGGCUCGGUAAGUCCGCUGUGAAAGUCCAGGGCUCAACCCUGGAAUGCCAGUGGAAACUGUCGAGCUAGAGUCCGGAAGAGGCGAGUGGAAUUCCUGGUGUAGCGGUGAAAUGCGCAGAUAUCAGGAGGAACACCAAUGGCGAAGGCAGCUCGCUGGGACGGUACUGACGCUGAGGAGCGAAAGCGUGGGGAGCGAACAGG
rnacentral:rRNA from 1 species